GCCGCGUGCAAGCGAAGGAGGAGUCACAUAGGAAAAACCGUGUGGCAAUCCAGAGGCGUGAUGCGGACCGAACUAAAGUAGGGAAGUGUGUGAGCCAUGAAUCAAGAAAAGCCGCUAUUGUUUUUAAGAUACCCGUACCGUAAACCGACACAGGUGGAUGAGGAGAGAAUCCUAAGGCCGGCGGAAGAAGCAUUGUUAAGGAACUCGGCAAAAUGACCCCGUAACUUCGGGAGAAGGGGUGCCAACGAGAGUUGGCCGCAGAGAAUAGGCUCAAGCAACUGUUUAGCAAAAACACAGGUCUAUGCAAAACCGUAAGGUGAGGUAUAUGGGCUGACGCCUGCCCGGUGCUGGAAGGUUAAGAGGAGAGGUUAGCGUAAGCGAAGCUUUGAAUUUAAGCCCCAGUAAACGGCGGCCGUAACAAUAACGGUCCUAAGGUAGCGAAAUUCCUUGUCGGGUAAGUUCCGACCCGCACGAAAGGCGUAAUGAUUUGAGCGCUGUCUCGACAAUGCAUCCGGUGAAAUUGAAGUACCAGUGAAGAUGCUGGUUACCCGCGCCAGGACGGAAAGACCCCAUGGAGCUUUACUCCAGUUUGGUACUGGGGUCCGGCAGUGCAUGUACAGGAUAGGUGGGAGGCUUUGAACCUGGAACGCCAGUUUCAGGGGAGCCGAUGUUGGGAUACCACCCUUGUGCUGCUGGGCUUCUAACCAGCGGCCUUUAUCAGGCCGGGGGACAAUGCCAGACGGGGAGUUUGACUGGGGCGGUCGCCUCCGAAAGGGUAUCGGAGGCGCUCAAAGGUUCCCUCAGAAUGGUCGGAAACCAUUCGAAGAGUGCAAAGGCAGAAGGGAGCUUGACUGCGACACCGACGGGUGGAGCAGGUACGAAAGUAGGACUUAGUGAUCCGGUGGUAUUAAGUGGGAAUGCCAUCGCUCAACGGAUAAAAGCUACCCUGGGAUAACAGGCUUAUCACUCCCAAGAGUUCACAUCGACGGAGUGGUUUGGCACCUCGAUGUCAGCUCAUCGCAUCCUGGGGCUGUAGUAGGUCCCAAGGGUUGGGCUGUUCGCCCAUUAAAGCGGUACGCGAGCUGGGUUCAGAACGUCGUGAGACAGUUCGGUCCCUAUCCGGCGUGGGCGUAGGAUAUUUGAGAGGAGCUGUCCUUAGUACGAGAGGACCGGGAUGGACUGACCUCUGGUGUACCGGUUGAACCGCCAGGUUCACGGCCGGGUAGCCAAGUCGGGAAGGGAUAAACGCUGAAGGCAUCUAAGCGUGAAGCCCCCCUCAAGAUGAGAUAUCCCAUUCGAAAGAAGUAAGACCCCUUGAAGACGACGAGGUAGAUAGGGCAGAGGUGGAAGUGCCGUAAGGCAUGGAGCCGACUGUUUCUAAUCGGUCGAGGGCUUGACUUA
rnacentral:rRNA from 1 species